rnacentral:rRNA from 1 species
CGGACGGGUGAGUAACGCGUGGGGAACCUGCCCUGUACAGGGGGAUAACACUUAGAAAUAGGUGCUAAUACCGCAUAAGCGCACAGUAUCGCAUGAUACAGUGUGAAAAACUCCGGUGGUACAGGAUGGACCCGCGUCUGAUUAGCUGGUUGGCGGGGUAACGGCCCACCAAGGCGACGAUCAGUAGCCGGCCUGAGAGGGUGAACAGCCACAUUGGGACUGAGACACGGCCCAAACUCCUACGGAAGGCAGCAG